rnacentral:rRNA from 1 species
CUUAGGAAAAGAAAUCAAUUGAGAUUCCCUCAGUAGCGGCGAGCGAACGGGGAUCAGCCCAUUAAGUUAUGUGUGUUUUAGUGGAACGCUCUGGGAAGUGCGAACGUAGAGGGUGAUAUUCCCGUACACGAAAGGGCACACAUAAUGAUGACGAGUAGGGCGAGGCACGUGAAACCUUGUCUGAAUAUGGGGGGACCAUCCUCCAAGGCUAAAUACUCCUGACUGACCGAUAGUGAACCAGUACCGUGAGGGAAAGGCGAAAAGAACCCCUGUGAGGGGAGUGAAAUAGAUCCUGAAACCGCAUGCAUACAAGCAGUGGGAGCACCUUCGUGGUGUGACUGCGUACCUUUUGUAUAAUGGGUCAGCGACUUAUAUUCAGUAGCAAGGUUAACCGUAUAGGGGAGCCGUAGAGAAAUCGAGUCUUAAUAGGGCGUUUAGUUGCUGGGUAUAGACCCGAAACCAGGCGAUCUAUCCAUGAGCAGGUUGAAGGUUGGGUAACACUAACUGGAGGACCGAACCCACUGUCGUUGAAAAGCCAGGGGAUGACUUGUGGAUAGGGGUGAAAGGCUAAUCAAGCCUGGUGAUAGCUGGUUCUCCCCGAAAGCUAUUUAGGUAGCGCCUCGGACGAAUACCAUAGGGGGUAGAGCACUGUUUCGGCUAGGGGGUCAUCCCGACUUACCAAACCGAUGCAAACUCCGAAUACCUAUGAGUACUAUCCGGGAGACAGACUGCGGGUGCUAACGUCCGUAGUCAAGAGGAAAACAAUCCAGACCGCCAGCUAAGGCCCCAAAAUCAUAGUUAAGUGGGAAACGAUGUGGGAAGGCAUAGACAGCUAGGAGGUUGGCUUAGAAGCAGCCACCCUUUAAAGAAAGCGUAAUAGCUCACUAGUCGAGUCGGCCUGCGCGGAAGAUGUAACGGGGCUAAAA